rnacentral:rRNA from 1 species
AUAUUGCACAAUGGUGGGAACUCUGAUGCAGCAACGCCGCGUGAGUGUAGAAGGUUUUCGUAUCGUAAAACUUUGUCAUUGGGGAAGAAUAAAUGACGGUACCCAAUGAGGAAGCCCCGGCUAACUACUUGCCAGCAGCCGGGGUAAUACGUAGGGGGAGAGCGUUGUCCGGAAUUACUGGGCGUAAAGGGUACGUAGGCGGCUAUAUAAGUCAGGUGUGAAAUACCAGUGCUUAACACUGGAAUUGCAUUUGAAACUGUGUAGCUUGAGUGCAGGAGAGGAAAGUGGAAUUCCUAGUGUAGCGGUGAAAUGCGUAGAGAUAUGGAGGAACACCAGUGGCGAAGGAGACUCUCUGGUCUGUAACUGACGCUGAGGCGCGAAAGCGUGGGGAUCAAACA